rnacentral:piRNA from 1 species
AUGUUUUUCUUUGUAAGAGUCAUGGUGUC